GCAGGCAAGACUGGUUCAGAGAGCAGGGGUGCAGGGGUCUGGAAGCUGGUUUGGAAAUGCAUUUCCAAGUUCGGGAUGUGAAACAAUGAAACUGUGAUUUGAUGUGUUGUGGCAUGUUUCUAAACGUCUAGUAUCCCAACAUGAGGAAAUUUACUGUAAGAGGGGAUCUAGGAAGAACGGCAUAAAUCCUCAUUUCUGACUCCAGUUUUACAGCUAGCUGCUAUGAAACACCCUCGCUGCAGCGUGGGCUUGCACGGAUUCCUGUGCUUCCGCCUCAAGAAGCACAGACAAGCAUAAGGAAGUCUCAAGGCAAAUCCUGUUUAGGAGACAGCUGCACAGAAAAGAUAAUUCAAGAGUAGGCCAUAACAGGACACCGAGCUGCAGGGGGUGAAGCGGGAUGCAGUUCCUGUCUGUCCAAGGGAUCACAUUUGCUGGACCACGUGGGCUGGCAGGUUCCAGGGCCAACGUGGCCAAGUCACGGCCCUGAAGAGAGGCCAAGACUCCUGGGGAGCUGGAGCCCAGAGGGUAAGCAUUUAGUAACAGAGGCCUCCUGGUUACACUGAAGCUGGGAUGCCACAGUGAUGUUGACUGUUGAAGGAUUCUGAGUGGCUUCGUUCGGGUUUUAGCCAGGAUGGACAGGAACUGGCUGUUUCUGACAUAGGACGGUGCAGCAGGGCUGGU